GAUGAACGCUGGCGGCGUGCUUAACACAUGCAAGUCGAACGGAAAGGCUCCUGCUUGCAGGGGUACUCGAGUGGCGAACGGGUGAGUAACACGUGGGUGAUCUGCCCUGCACUUCGGGAUAAGCCUGGGAAACUGGGUCUAAUACCGGAUAGGACGAUGGUUUGGAUGCCAUUGUGGAAAGUUUUUCGGUGUGGGCUGAGCUCGCGGCCUAUCAGCUUGUUGGUGGGGUAAUGGCCUACCAAGGCGUCGACGGGUAGCCGGCCUGGGAGGGUGUACGGCCACAUUGGGACUGAGAUACGGCCCAGACUCCUACGGGAGGCAGCAGUGGGGAAUAUUGCACAAUGGGCGCAAGCCUGAUGCAGCGACGCCGCGUGGGGGAUGACGGCCUUCGGGUUGUAAACUCCUUUCGCUAGGGACGAAGCGCAAGUGACGGUACCUGGAGAAGAAGCACCGGCUAACUACGUG
rnacentral:rRNA from 1 species